rnacentral:rRNA from 1 species
CCUACGGGUGGCAGCAGUGAGGAAUAUUGGUCAAUGGACGAGAGUCUGAUCCAGCCACGUCGCGUGAAGGAUGACUGCCCUAUGGGUUGUAAACUUCAUUUAUAUGGGAAUAAAAUGUUCCACGUGUGGGAUUUUGUAUGUACCAUAUGAAUACGGAUCGGCUAACUCCGUGCCAGCAGCCGCGGUAAUACGGAUGAUCCGAGCGUUAUCCGGAUUUAUUGGGUUUAAAGGGACCGUAGAUGGAUGGUUAAGUCAGGUGUGAAAGUUUGCGGCUCAACCGUAAAAUUGCAUUGGAAACUGGGAGUCUUGAGUACAGGAGAGGUGAGCGGAAUUCGUGGUGUAGCGGUGAAAUGCUUAGAUAUGACGAAGAACUCCGAGUGCGAAGGCAGCUCACUGGACUGUAACUGACACUGAGGCUCGAAAGUGUGGGGAUCAAACAGGAUUAGAUACCCUUGUAGUC